AUUGAACGCCGGCGGCAGGCCUAACACAUGCAAGUCGAGCGCGAAAGGCCUUCGGGCUGAGUAGAGCGGCGGACGGGUGAGUAACGCGUAGGAAUCUACCUGGUAGUGGGGGACAACUUGGGGAAACUCAAGCUAAUACCGCAUACGCCCUAUGGGGGAAAGCGGGGGACCUUCGGGCCUCGCGCUAUCAGAUGAGCCUGCGUAGGAUUAGCUAGUUGGUGAGGUAAAGGCUCACCAAGGCGACGAUCCUUAGCUGGUCUGAGAGGAUGAUCAGCCACACUGGGACUGAGACACGGCCCAGACUCCUACGGGAGGCAGCAGUGGGGAAUAUUGCGCAAUGGGGGCAACCCUGACGCAGCCAUGCCGCGUGUGUGAAGAAGGCCUUCGGGUUGUAAAGCACUUUAAGUGGGGAGAAAGGCCCGUUGGUUAAUAGCCAGCGGGAUUGAUGUUACCCACAGAAUAAGCACCGGCUAACUCCGUGCCAGCCGCCGCAGUAACAC
rnacentral:rRNA from 1 species